AACUCUGAUAAUGCCAUCAAGUUUGUUACAAGUUGUUAAAAGCUUAUUCCAAACUGGUUGACAACUUGGGACAAGCAGUGCGAACACAACUUGUUGACGGCUUGUUGGCAGACCUGUUACAAGAUGUGAGAUUUUUGCGUGUGUGAUAUUUUACCCGGACGAACAUUGAACACACUGUGCAGUGGCGGCGCNNNNNNNNNNNNNNNNNNNNAGGGGAAAGUGGGGGGGGGGGGGGGGGGCGAAUUAAGUUGCGAACAAACCCCACCCUCCCACCAGUGUCAACCACUGAUACAAAGCUAACACGUAAAGCAAAGUCAAAGUAGAAGACAACGUAGCAGACUAGCAGCUCCUCGCGUGAUCUUCGUAUGCAAUAUUCAUGCGAGGGUCUUUAAAAUGGGAUUUGCCUAUUUUUGCAAAGAUGGGGAAAAUGGGAUAUGUAUGGCUACAUACGUGAGUUUUUCAGCGACUUCAAAUUGCCCUCGUUCUUUGGACAUCGUCUUCGAAAAACUCACGUCGAUAAGGAAAGUAUCGGCAAUACCUGUCCGCGUGGAAGCCAACGAUAAUAUCUAGACUACAUUAUAAAGUAUGCUACUGUAAACUAAUUGUAAAUCUUAUGCAGGUAAAUCAAUAAAUAUGCGAUGCCCCACACAUAUAUACUGCAAUUUUUUGUCACUGCACAAAAUUUAGCGAUAUUCUUCACCAAAUCCGGGAACUGUUUGGAAGCAUGAACAAAAAUCCAGUCCAUGGUUAGGGUGUGUUCAUAUGCGCUUGGUUUGCCAGAAACUCGCCCGAGUGAGAUAAAUGAAUCGUUGUAUUUUUCAACUAUGCCGUUCAAUACUAUAUUAUAGGUCAAAAUCGGCAAAAAAUUUCCAUCCCGAUCAGGUGGGAUAAAGACUUCAUAUGGGAAAUUUUAUGCAACCCGACUGAGAUGUCACCUAGCACGAGAUGAGAUCUCACCAAGCCGGGCUGCCUCGUUUCUCAUAAUGGAAUGCGUUAAAGCCUGGUCUCUAUAUGAUCGUUGCGAUCGCUACAAUCAUUACGAUUGCUUGAAAAAUGUACCAGCGAUCGUAGUGAUUAUAUGGAAAUCAAUGGACCUAUUCCCUAUUAAAUGAACAAAAUUUUGAUCUAGACAAGUCUACAAGAAUUUUUUCAGAAAGCGGUAUCAAUUUCCCGUGCAUGUGUAAUACAAAAUGACUGAAAAACGGCAAACUUCGCAGGGCUCUAUUAUCCGCAUUUUACAAUAUUUCGCAACGAAACUUCGGAAUAUUACUAAUUUUGUGAUGCUCUUUUAAGCCAUGAUAAAAUUUUUGUCUAGACUUAUCUAGAUCAAAAUUUUGUUCAUUAGGGAAUAGGUCCAUUAGUUGGCGAUCGCAGCGACCGCAAUGAUCGUAACGAUCGUGAUGGAAAAAUUUCUAUCUCACCAAUCGUAACGACCCUUUGGAAGUUCAACGAUCGUAACCCUUGCUAUCUCCGUAUAAUUUCUGCUUCUUCUCUCGUCGUCGUCUAAAAAUUCGCAAUAUGUUGAGGAACCAAGCUUCCAAUAACAAACGCUCGUUUAUUGCUGUCAUUUUUAAACUUUCGUGCCAUAAACUUUUUCCCAGCUCUCUCACAUUAUUUUCGCGCAAAAAAUGAAGCGAUCAUAUGAAGAACGAUCGCGAUCUUUACGACCACGGGUAAAUUUUUAUAGCGAUCGCAAUGAUUGCAGCGAUCGUAACGAUCGUAUGGAAACCAGGCGUAACAAAGGACAUGCAAAUCUCGCUCAGGCGAGGUUCCAGCUCAGCUGCGCUCGUAUGAACACGCCCUAACGACACUACACUAUACUGUAUGCAUGGAAUGUAGCAUUGCCAGUUGUCUUUCAAUUAUACAAGUCUAGUUCGCAUUUUCUCGCGGCCGUCGCGACCAAGUUAUGAUGUUAGUUUACCUUUAAUAAUCGCUCAUCCUACUCAAUGAAAGUCCGUGCAAUUCACGGCAUGUUACUGGUGGAAGGUUCCUGGCCAGUUGGUUGGAACUGUGCUUGACCAAUAUCGCCACCAACACCUCCAAAACUACCAGUGCCAAAGCUGCCAACACUAGGGAAUCCGGGGCCAAAUAAACCAGGAAACCCUAAAGCAGGAAACCCUGUAGUACUCAACCAAGGGGAGAGCAUGCUGGGAUUAAGGACUGGAAGACCAGCGGCACUCGAAGCUUCGCCUCCUGAAGGACCAGCCCCUGGGUCAAUGCCUUGCAUACCACUACUAGAAGCUUGCUCGAAUUGGUCGCCAAAAUGUGGAACCUUUUUCCUUCUCUUCGCACCGAUCUGUUCAGAAUCUAA
rnacentral:lncRNA from 1 species